rnacentral:misc_RNA from 1 species
UAGCUUGGACCUUACUACGAGGAUCCCCGGUGUGAUAAUUAUCUACGCGUCGGAAGCCUAGUAGCGCGUGUUACCCUGCUUUAUUGCGGUCGUCGUAACCGUGGGCUUUAUCGCCUGAGGCAUACAAGCUUAUAAUCGUCUUCGGACAACAUUUUUUAUCAUCUGACCUCAAAUCAGGUAGGACUACCCGCUGAACUUAA